AGCUAGAGUGUGGGAGAGGAAGAUGGAAUUAGUUGUGUAGGGGUAAAAUCCGUAGAGAUAACUAGGAAUACCAAAAGCGAAGGUAAUCUCUGGAACACUACUGACGCUGAGGCGCGAAAGCGUGGGGAGCAAACAGGAUUAGAUACCCUGGUAGUCCACGCAGUAAACGAUGAAUGUUAGUCGUCGGGUAGCUAGUCUAUUCGGUGAUGCAGCUAACGCAUUAAACAUUCCGCCUGGGGAGUACGGUCGCAAGAUUAAAACUCAAAGGAAUAGACGGGGACCCGCACAAGUGGUGGAGCAUGUGGUUUAAUUCGAAGAUACGCGAAGAACCUUACCUAGCCUUGACAUAUUUUAGAACUCACCAGAGAUGGAGAGGUGCCUGCGGGAGCUAAUUUACAGGUGCUGCACGGCUGUCGUCAGCUCGUGUCGUGAGAUGUUGGGUUAAGUCCCGCAACGAGCGCAACCCUCGUCACUAGUUACUAACGGUUCGGCCGAGGACUCUAGUGAGACUGCCUUCGUAAGGAGGAGGAAGGUGAGGACGACGUCAAGUCAUCAUGGCCCUUACGGCUAGGGCAACACACGUGCUACAAUGGCCAGGACAGUGAGACGCAAUACCGCGAGGUGGAGCAAAUCUAUAAACCUGGUCUCAGUUCGGAUUGUUCUCUGCAACUCGAGAACAUGAAGCUGGAAUCACUAGUAAUCGUAGAUCAGCUAUGCUACGGUGAAUACGUUCCCGGGUCUUGUACUCACCGCCCGUCACACCACGGGAGUUGAUUUCACCCGAAGCGGGGAAGCUAAACUGGCUACCCUCCACGGUGGAAUUAGCGACUGGGGUGAAGUCGUAACAAGGUAACC
rnacentral:rRNA from 1 species